UUUUUGCGUUAGGGAUAGAAGCGGCAUCCUUUUUUGCGUGGAACACCUAAAAAGAUAUAGCGAAUAGCCCGACCUUUA
rnacentral:sRNA from 1 species